AUUGAACGCUGGCGGCAUGCCUUACUCAUGCAAGUCGAACGGCAGCAUGGAGAGCUUGCUCUCUGAUGGCGAGUGGCGAACGGGUGAGUAAUGCAUCGGAACGUACCGUGUAAUGGGGGAUAACGUAGCGAAAGUUACGCUAAUACCGCAUACGACCUGAGGGUGAAAGCAGGGGAUCGCAAGACCUUGCGUUAUACGAGCGGCCGAUGUCAGAUUAGCUAGUUGGGGAGGUAAAGGCUCACCAAGGCGACGAUCUGUAGCGGGUCUGAGAGGAUGAUCCGCCACACUGGGACUGAGACACGGCCCAGACUCCUACGGGAGGCAGCAGUGGGGAAUUUUGGACAAUGGGGGCAACCCUGAUCCAGCCAUGCCGCGUGAGUGAAGAAGGCCUUCGGGUUGUAAAGCUCUUUCGGCCGGGAAGAAAUCGCACAGGCUAAUACUCUGUGUGGAUGACGGUACCGGCAUAAGAAGCACCGGCUAACUACGUGCCAGCCGCCGCAGUAA
rnacentral:rRNA from 1 species